rnacentral:lncRNA from 10 species
ACUGAGCGGUGUCCUGAGCCGAUUACAGCUAGGUAGUGGAGCGCCGCUGCUUACCUGGGUGCAGGAGACAGCCGGAGUCGCUGGGGGAGCUCCGCGCCGCCGGACGCCCGUGACCAUGUGGAGGCUGCUGGCUCGCGCUAGUGCGCCGCUCCUGCGGGUGCCCUUGUCAGAUUCCUGGGCACUCCUCCCCGCCAGUGCUGGCGUAAAGACACUGCUCCCAGUACCAAGUUUUGAAGGUGAGAGCUUGUCUUUCUCCUGUUCGUAAAUCUUUUCUCUGAUGGAAACCAGGAGCGGGUGGGAGAUGACAUAGGAAUGUUCUCGUGUUUCCCAUCCCCGUUCACUCUUUCAAUAAAUAUGUUUUUAGAGCUUACAGUUUUGCCAACUAAUAUUCUGAGCACUAGAAAUAAAUCAAAGACAAAGGAAACCAAAAAAGUUCCUUGCUCUUACGGAGCAGCGUCUAAUGAGAUAGCUCCCCUAAAACCUCCCACUGGUGUGUGUCCCAUGGUCCACUCAGCCAGUAGUCAUUGGCCUGAAAUCUGGAUUUUUGAGCGGGCAUG